UGAAUGAUAACUUGUAUUAAUUCCACAGAAAAGGUUCUUGAAAGUGAAGACGUAAGCACACAGGGGGCACACUGUUCAUCUACUGUUGAUGCAGAAGAGACUCUUCCUCACAUCGAGAGCCCUGAAAUUCCACCAACCAAGAAGCGAAGACAACGGCCGUUGGUUGAAAUGCCGGAAGAAGUCGGCGCUAUGAG